rnacentral:other from 1 species
GUCGCAUCAGAUUUCCUGGUGUAACGAAUUUUACUUUCUUCUUGCUCAGCAAGUUUUAUCCCGGCGCCCCCGCCGGGAUAU